AUGGAAUCAAAUGUGAGGGAACUCUGGUGUGGAGGAGACAAAUCUUCAAGUACUGAGAAACUGCAAAAUAGUGAACCAUAUUUGGAAGCAACUUAUACAAGAAAAUCACUGGGAAGUUUUCUUCAACAUAAUAUCAAGAAUGACUGGGAGCCUAAUGGAAUACAAAAUCUGAGUGGGAUGGUGACAAUGGAGAUUGGUAGUCAAAUUGGGCCACUGCUUGUCAUACCAUAUGGUAUUGGAGGAACCAAAGAAUGUAUAACCUGGAUUUUAUAA